rnacentral:rRNA from 1 species
CCUACGGGAGGCAGCAGUGGGGAAUAUUGGGCAAUGGAGGAAACUCUGACCCAGCAACGCCGCGUGAAUGAUGAAGGUCCUCGGUUUGUAACGUUUUUUUCUACGGGAAGAAGAAAGUGACGGUACCUUCGGAAUAAGCCUCGCCAAACUACGUGCCAGCAGCCGCGGUAAUACGUAGGAGGCAAGCAUUCUCCGGAAUGACUGGGCGUAAGGGGUGCGCAGGCGGAAGGUCAAGUCAGCGGUAAAAUUGAGGGGGUAAAACUCGCCGAGCCGUUGAAACUGGUUAUCUUGAGUGGGUGAGAAGUAUGCGGAAUGCGUGGUGUAGCGGUGAAAUGCAUAGAUAUCACGCAGAACCCCGAUUGCGAAGGCAGCAUACCGGCGCUCAACUGACGCUCAUGCACGAAAGUGUGGGUAUCGAACAGGAUUAGAUACCCUUGUAGUC